GGAAAUGACUGACCUGAUGUGUGUUAUAACCCAUCUGAGCCCCCUACAACCACCAGUUUUGAAAUAAGAUUAAGAACUGGCCUUUUCCUAGGUGAUACAAGUGAAAUAAUAACUAGAACAGAAGAAAAAGGAAUCCCCAAACAAGUAACUUUAAGAUUUGACGCUUGUGCAGCCAUUAAUAGUAACAAGCUAGGAACAGGAUGUGGUUCUCUUAACUGGGAAAGGAGCUACAGAGUAGAAAAUAAAUAUGUUUGUCAUGAGUCAGGGGUUUGUGAAAAUUGUGCCUUUUGGCCAUGUGUUAUUUAGGCUACUUGGAAAAAGAACAAAAAGGACUUGGUUCAUCUUCAGAAAGGGGAAGCCAACCCCUCCUGUGCUGCCAGUCACUGUAACCCACUAGAACUAAUAAUUACCAAUCCCCUAGAUCCCCAUUGGAAAAAGGGAGAAUGUGUAACCCUGGGGAUCAAAGGGACAGGGUUAAACCCCCAAGUUGCCAUUUUAGUUCAAGGGGAGGUCCACAAGCACUCUCCCAAACCAGUGUUUCAAACCUUUUAUGAGGAGUUAAAUCUGCCAGCACCAGAACUUCUGAAAAAGAUAAAAAAUUUGUUUCUCCAAUUAGCAGAAAAUGUAGCUCAUUCCCUUAAUGUUACUUCUUGUUAUAUAUGCGGGGGAACCACUAUCAGAGACCGAUGGCCUUGGGAAGCCUGAGAGUUGGUGCCCACUGAUCCAGCUCCUGAUAUAAUGGGGGCUUGUCCAGGAUCUCAUCAGGACUGGAUGGCUCUCGCUGGACUAUACUGGAUAUGUGGGCAGAGAGCCUACAUUCAGUUACCUAAUGAAUGGGCAGACAGUUGUGUUAUUGGCACUAUUAAGCCAUCCUUUUUCUUAUUACCGAUAAAAACUACUGGUACUAUCUGUAAAUUCCAGACAUUGUAUGAGAAAGCACUGUAAAACUUUUUGUUCUGUUAGCUGAUAUAUGUAGCCUCCAGUCACAUUCCUCAUGCUUACUUGAUCUAUCAUGACCCUUUCACGUGGACCCCUUAGAGUUGUAAGCCCUUAAAAGGGCUAGGAAUUUCUUUUUGGGGGAGCUUGGCUCUUAAGACAUGAGUCUGCCAAUGCUACCGGCCAAAUAAAAACCUCUUCCUUCUUU
rnacentral:lncRNA from 1 species